rnacentral:rRNA from 1 species
GUGCCAGCAGCCGCGGUAAUACCGGCAGCCCGAGUGAUGGCCGAUCUUAUUGGGCCUAAAGCGUCCGUAGCUGGCUGCGCAAGUCCGUCGGGAAAUCCACUCGCCCAACGAGUGGGCGUCCGACGGAAACUGCACAGCUUGGGACCGGAAGGCUCGAAGGGUACGUUCGGGGUAGGAGUGAAAUCCUGUAAUCCUGGACGGACCGCCGAUGGCGAAAGCACGUCGGGAAGACGGAUCCGACGGUGAGGGACGAAAGCCAGGGUCUCCAACCGGAUUAGAAACCCCGGUAGUUU